rnacentral:rRNA from 1 species
AUUCUAGAGUUUGAUCAUGGCUCAGAUUGAACGCUGGCGGCAGGCCUAACACAUGCAAGUCGAGCGGUAGCACAGAGAGCUUGCUCUCGGGUGACGAGCGGCGGACGGGUGAGUAAUGUCUGGGAAACUGCCUGAUGGAGGGGGAUAACUACUGGAAACGGUAGCUAAUACCGCAUAAUGUCGCAAGACCAAAGUGGGGGACCUUCGGGCCUCAUGCCAUCAGAUGUGCCCAGAUGGGAUUAGCUAGUAGGUGGGGUAACGGCUCACCUAGGCGACGAUCCCUAGCUGGUCUGAGAGGAUGACCAGCCACACUGGAACUGAGACACGGUCCAGACUCCUACGGGAGGCAGCAGUGGGGAAUAUUGCACAAUGGGCGCAAGCCUGAUGCGGCCAUGCCGCGUGUGUGAAGAAGGCCUUCGGGUUGUAAAGCACUUUCAGCGGGGAGGAAGGCGGUGAGGUUAAUAACCUCAUCGAUUGACGUUACCCGCAGAAGAAGCACCGGCUAACUCCGUGCCAGCAGCCGCGGUAAUACGGAGGGUGCAAGCGUUAAUCGGAAUUACUGGGCGUAAAGCGCACGCAGGCGGUCUGUCAAGUCGGAUGUGAAAUCCCCGGGCUCAACCUGGGAACUGCAUUCGAAACUGGCAGGCUAGAGUCUUGUAGAGGGGGGUAGAAUUCCAGGUGUAGCGGUGAAAUGCGUAGAGAUCUGGAGGAAUACCGGUGGCGAAGGCGGCCCCCUGGACAAAGACUGACGCUCAGUGCGAAAGCGUGGGGAGCAAACAGGAUUAGAUACCCUGGUAGUCCACGCCGUAAACGAUGUCGAUUUGGAGGUUGUGCCCUUGAGGCGUGGCUUCCGGAGCUAACGCGUUAAAUCGACCGCCUGGGGAGUACGGCCGCAAGGUUAAAACUCAAAUGAAUUGACGGGGGCCCGCACAAGCGGUGGAGCAUGUGGUUUAAUUCGAUGCAACGCGAAGAACCUUACCUGGUCUUGACAUCCACAGAACUUUCCAGAGAUGGAUUGGUGCCUUCGGGAACUGUGAGACAGGUGCUGCAUGGCUGUCGUCAGCUCGUGUUGUGAAAUGUUGGGUUAAGUCCCGCAACGAGCGCAACCCUUAUCCUUUGUUGCCAGCGGUUAGGCCGGGAACUCAAAGGAGACUGCCAGUGAUAAACUGGAGGAAGGUGGGGAUGACGUCAAGUCAUCAUGGCCCUUACGACCAGGGCUACACACGUGCUACAAUGGCAUAUACAAAGAGAAGCGACCUCGCGAGAGCAAGCGGACCUCAUAAAGUAUGUCGUAGUCCGGAUUGGAGUCUGCAACUCGACUCCAUGAAGUCGGAAUCGCUAGUAAUCGUAGAUCAGAAUGCUACGGUGAAUACGUUCCCGGGCCUUGUACACACCGCCCGUCACACACGGUACCAU